rnacentral:rRNA from 1 species
GGAUCAGUACGCUGGUCGUGCCUUCGGUAUGUACUGGUGUUACUGGUUCCUACCUUCUGACGAACCGUCAUGUCAUUAAUUUGGUGUGGCGGGGAAUCAGGACUGUUACUUUGAAAAAAUUAGAGUGUUCAAAGCAGGCCUAUGCCCGAAUACAUUAGCAUGGAAUAACGAAAUAGGACG